rnacentral:tRNA from 1 species
GGGCCCGUAGCUCAGCAAGGCAGAGCGGCGGACUGGUCAUCCGUAGGUCAGGGGUUCAAUUCCCCUCGGGCCCGCCA